CGAUGUCUAUCUUAGGCCGGAGGAUGUCGUUGGCGCCGGCGUAGAUGCUUACGAGCGUCGGUUUGAGGCCGACGGCGGCGUCCA
rnacentral:tRNA from 1 species